rnacentral:rRNA from 1 species
AUUGAACGCUGGCGGCAUGCUUUACACAUGCAAGUCGAACGGUAACAGGUUAAGCUGACGAGUGGCGAACGGGUGAGUAAUGCAUCGGAACGUGCCCGGUCGUGGGGGAUAACGCAGCGAAAGUUGCGCUACUACCGCAUACGAUCUGAGGAUGAAAGCGGGGGACCGUAAGGCCUCGCGCGAUCGGAGCGGCCGAUGUCAGAUUAGGUAGUUGGUGGGGUAAAGGCUCACCAAGCCAACGAUCUGGAGCUGGUCUGAGAGGACGACCAGCCACACUGGGACUGAGACACGGCCCAGACUCCUACGGGAGGCAGCAGUGGGGAAUUUUGGACAAUGGGCGAAAGCCUGAUCCAGCAAUGCCGCGUGCAGGAAGAAGGCCUUCGGGUUGUAAACUGCUUUUGUACGGAGCGAAAAGGUCUCCUCUAAUACAGGGGGCUCAUGACGGUACCGUAAGAAUAAGCACCGGCUAACUACGUGCCAGCCGCCGCCGUAA